CCAGUGGUAUACAGGCAGACCAACUCUCCAGAAAAAAAUUCCAAACACCCCAAAACAACAAAACCCUGAUUUGUAGCAUUUGCUGAUUCCUGUGUGUAAACUUUCCUCACAUGGCCACUUUCAAGCUACCGACAUGACGUCAGUGAAUGAAGAGCUGGAAAGACAGGACCAGGAUGGGCUCUCAUGAACCGGUUCAAGCUGGCUGCGUGAUACUUGGCACAAGAGCCGUGCUCAGUAAAUAAUGCUUGAGUGAAAGAAUAAAUGAAUUAUCAUUAGCUUGAGCCAUUAUUCCAUUAAAGUGCCUGGUGAAUCUAAAGUUUUAGGAAUGAAGAAGGAGAGGAGGUCAGAGAAGGUGUGUGGCUUGCUGGAUGGUGGACAAGUGAUCAGCAGUGAAUCCAGCGAGGAGGAAGAGCUCCCUAAGCUCUGAGCUCAGCACAGGGACAGGAACAUGGGCCGGAUGAGGAGGGCAAGGACUGGUGACUUGGGGCUGCAGACCAUCAGGCAUCUGAAUUCGGAGCUCCUGCUUCCUGAUGCUCUGUACUUGAGCGCACUCUACAGCCUGUGGUCCUGUCCACCCUGGAAACACAUUCUCUGCAUUUACCUCAUGUGCCAUUUUGGGAAAUGUGAGAGACAAGGCCCUAUUCAUUGAGCAUGUGAGCUCAUAUAUAAAUGUCAGAGUAGAAACAAACCAGCGUAUCUCUGUUUUUUCUUUCACACCAUCAUGCCUGCUGUGGUGUAACAAAAAAUAGGUACUUGGUCUUUGUCCCCAGUUCCUGGCACAGAGCUCCCCAAACCCUUGGAAUUUCCUGAGUGAUAAGAAUGUCUUUAUGCUAAUUAGAAGGUUAGAACUUUCAGCUCCACCCCUUGACCUCUGGGGAGAAAAGAGGUGGGCCAUUAAGUUCAAUCACCAAUGGCCAAUGAUUUAACCAAUCAUGCUUACAUAAUGAAACCUUGAUUAAAAAAAACCCUUGAACAGUGGGGUCAGGAGCCUCCAACUUGGUAAAUACACUGAUGCGCUGGGAGGGUUGGUUGCAUGCUGGAGAGGGCAUGGAAGCUCUGCACCACCCCCCCCCCCCCCCCCGCCCCA